rnacentral:piRNA from 1 species
UCCUCUCCUUUAUCCUCUGUGUGCUGUUUU